UACGGAGGGUGCAAGCGUUGCUCGGAAUUAUUGGGCGUAAAGGGUAGGUAGGUGGUCUCAUUUGUCUGGGGUGAAAGCCUUGAGCUUAACUCAAGAAGUGCCCCAGAAACGGUGAGACUAGAGUCUUGGAGAGGGUCGUGGAAUUCCCGGUGUAGCGGUGAAAUGCGUAGAUAUUCGGAAGAACACCGGUGGCGAAGGCGACCUUCUGGGCCGUUUCUGACGCUGAGGUACGAAAGCGUGGGGAACAAACAGG
rnacentral:rRNA from 1 species